AUGGCGCUGCGAACCCUGGCGGCGAGGGUGCGGACUUCGGGCGCCGCGGUCCGCCUCCAGCCGCCGGCCGUCGGCAUCUCCCCUCCGCCCGGCGGCCGCCCCAACCUCCACUCCGCCGCCGCCACCCGCCGCCUCUCCCCUCCGGCCGGCGGCCGUCCCUGCCUCACCCACAGCAGGAAGCUAGGAGGUUCUCCACGUGAAGAUGCUGCUCGGAAGAUGGUGCUUGAGACUGCUGCCACACUUGAACACCUGGAGAAGACUUACGAAACAUUCAAGGCACGCGUUGGAUUACUAGAGAAGGCAGCCACGUUUCUGAAGUGGUCGUGGGCUUGCAUUAUCCCUGUGCCUUUGGUUUACGCCAUUGCGCAGCAUUAUUAG
rnacentral:rRNA from 1 species